rnacentral:rRNA from 1 species
UGGGGAAUUUUGGACAAUGGGCGAAAGCCUGAUCCAGCAAUGCCGCGUGUGUGAAGAAGGCCUUCGGGUUGUAAAGCACUUUUGUCCGGAAAGAAAUCCUUGGCUCUAAUACAGUCGGGGGAUGACGGUACCGGAAGAAUAAGCACCGGCUAACUACGUGCCAGCAGCCGCGGUAAUACGUAGGGUGCAAGCGUUAAUCGGAAUUACUGGGCGUAAAGCGUGCGCAGGCGGUUUGCUAAGACCGAUGUGAAAUCCCCGGGCUCAACCUGGGAACUGCAUUGGUGACUGGCAGGCUAGAGUAUGGCAGAGGGGGGUAGAAUUCCACGUGUAGCAGUGAAAUGCGUAGAGAUGUGGAGGAAUACCGAUGGCGAAGGCAGCCCCCUGGGCCAAUACUGACGCUCAUGCACGAAAGCGUGGGGAGCAAACAGGAUUAGAUACCCUGGUAGUCCACGCCCUAAACGAUGUCAACUAGUUGUUGGGGAUUCAUUUCCUAGUAACGUAGCUAACGCGUGAAGUUGACCGCCUGGGGAGUACGGUCGCAAGAUUAAACUCAAUG